UACAGAGGGUGCGAGCGUUAAUCGGAAUUACUGGGCGUAAAGGGUGCGUAGGCGGUUAUAUAAGUUAGAUGUGAAAUCCCCGGGCUUAACCUGGGAAUUGCAUUUAAUACUGUGUGACUAGAGUAGAGUAGAGGGAAGUGGAAUUUCCGGUGUAGCGGUGAAAUGCGUAGAUAUCGGAAAGAACAUCAGUGGCGCAGGGCGGCUUCCUGGCCUCCAUACUCGUGAGGCACGAAAGCAUGGGGAGC
rnacentral:rRNA from 1 species